GGGAUUACCUCAGUAACGGCGAGUGAAGCGGUAACAGCUCAAAUUUGAAAUCUGGGUCUUUCAGGCUCCGAGUUGUAAUUUGUAGAAGAUGCUUCGGGUGCGGCUCCGGUCUAAGUUCCUUGGAGCAGGACGUCAUAGAGGGUGAGAAUCCCGUAUGUGAUCGGUUGCUUGCGCCCAUGUGAAGCUCUUUCGACGAGUCGAGUUGUUUGGGAAUGCAGCUCAAAAUGGGUGGUAAAUUUCAUCUAAAGCUAAAUAUUGGCCAGAGACCGAUAGCGCACAAGUAGAGUGAUCGAAAGAUGAAAAGCACUUUGGAAAGAGAGUUAAACAGUACGUGAAAUUGUUGAAAGGGAAGCGCUUGCAACCAGACUUGCGCGUUGCCGAUCAUCCGGGGUUCUCCCCGGUGCACUCGGCUUCGCUCAGGCCAGCAUCGGUUUCGGUGGUGGGAUAAAGGCCUUGGGAAUGUAGCUUCUUUCGGGGAGUGUUAUAGCCCUCGGUGCAAUGCCGCCUACCGGGACCGAGGACCGCGCUUCGGCUAGGAUGCUGGCGUAAUGGUUGUAAGCGACCCG
rnacentral:rRNA from 1 species